GUUGCUCCAUAAUCAUCUCUCAGUUACUUGUGUGGGGCGUUAGUACUGUGUAGAGCACUCACACAGCUGGUCAGGUACAUUCAUAUUAUAGUGGAGAUGUUUAUGACCAUUGGUGCCACUGACAGUUUGCAGAUAUGCCACAAGAUUUAGAGAAAAAUGCCUGGAUAUUUAGAAAACUGUGGUUUCUAAUCAACCAAUGGCAUGUUGUAAUACUGUUACAUAAUAUAUAAAAUCUCUGUAUUUGAUUUUCCAAUUUGUGUCAUUAGUUAUAAAUACCCUCAAAGUUAUCUAAUUAGCUUAUAAUUAACAUGUCAUUAAGAACAUAGUUAUCUUUAGGUUCAUUGAUGUAAACUGAACCUCAGUGUUUUAGCUUAUCUGGGUUUUUGUGUGCCUUAUCUUAUUAACUGUAAUAUUACAAACAGUUGCAUUUAGGGCACCAAUGAUGUGCUGGAGAGUCCUCGUGUAUUUGUGUCUGUGUUUACCCCUGGCAUUCAUCACCUGUAUGACCAGGCGUGACUUAAGAUAAGUAUCAAGUUAUUUUAGAAAACUUGUGAAGCUCACAUCUGGUUGCUUAAUAGAAAACUCGCUCUUAAAAUGUUCAUAUUUAAGAUGUACACUUUUUUUUAUGAGAAUAUUUUGUUGAAUUAUGAUCCAAACAAU